GUGUUUGUUUCAGUAGCACAGAUACUAAAAUAGGAAAGAAACGGAGAAGAUCGGCAUGAGCCCUGAGCAAGGAUGACACAGAAAUGCUUAAGUGUUUCAUAUUUUU